AAAGGUUUUCUUAAUGUAGGAGGAACAGGAAGAUGUUUCUUUUGCUGUAUGAUUCACAUCUGUCAAAUCACCCUGCAAUUGAUUCCUCUAAGGAGCUGGCAAUCUCUACCAGGAGAACUAAAUGAAAGCUCCAGAAUACUGUGUGUGAGAAGAAGCACUAGAACAUUUAAAAGACCUUUAGCAACUGUGCAAAAAGAAUUUAUUUUCAACUAUAAUUAGAGUUCUACUCUCUGUGUUCUAGCUAGUAGCGCACCUCUAAAAGAAUAUAGCACUGUAUCCUUGCUAUUCCAGUAUGGGAGAUUAAAGAUAAAAUCACAUGCUAAAACUGUGAUUUAAAAAUAUGAGGAACACUACAGGAUUUUCUAAUAAUCUUUGAAGAAAAGAAAAUAAACUGGACAUCACUUCAAGGUGUGUGCUCUCCACCAGUUUUGACAGCUAGCAUCUACAGGAUUCAUUGCACAUCACUGAGGUGCUUAAGUUAGUGACCUGGGCACCCUAAACUUCCUGGACAGUCAAUGGAAUGAAGCAUUUCUUCAAAAGUGUGUCUUCCUAAUCUGCUUUUUUUCUCUAUUGAGUAUACAAGAAGAUUAUAUUAGAUCAGAGCAAAAUAUAUUAUAAUCAGAGCACUUUCAGUAUAGCUUGAACAGUGACUAAGAAGACCAAUACAUUCCUCGGUAGGAAGCCAACAAAUUUUUUACAGAACUGAAGAUGGAACAAGAUGGUUUUAAAAAUCCCUUCCAACCCAAACCAUUCUAUGAUUCCAUAAUUUUUCAGUUCUACUAAAACCAGUAACUCUGUUUCGAGAUUACUGUCAUUCAUUUCUUGAAUUUGGUGAUAAUUAACUGUGCCCAUCUUGAAGAACAGCAGAAAUUGUUUUACUUGCUCUGUUUCUAUGCUCAUGAAGGACAAGAAAAAGCGUGUUCACCAGUGUAAAUUUAGGAAAUUAUAGGAAGGUCAAGUGGUUAAUGAUAUUAUAGGGUUGCUGUUUAACACUUAGCAAAAGUAAAAUUUUUUCUGUUCUAAAGGCAGUCUAAUUCACUGUAAUUGACAUUGAAAUGUUAUCUCCCACUAAUUUGGUAUAAACUGUUUAACUGCUGAGUUUCAUAUUCAAAGCCAAACUCUUCAUUUACAUUUGUAUGUUGGGACAUAAUUUGAUUUACCAUUUCUCCUGUUUUCCACAAAAUGUGCUAAUGACAUGUAUAAAAUUUAUGAACACAUAUUCAAAAAGCCAAAGAACAGAUCUGAAGAAUCUCUGUUUGGCUGAACUAAGCAGGGCGUAUCUCUCUCUGUUGGAAAGAUGUCAUUUCCCAUAUGAGCUGUGCUAAUGUAGCACUUGUCAUCCCAAGCUUGUUUUUGCUGUGCAGUUGGUCAGCCUACUGCAUCUGCAAACUUUUUCUAUAACCAUCAAAAGACUAGCCUAUAUCAUGACAUUUUCAAGGCUCUCAAUAUCCAAUC
rnacentral:lncRNA from 7 species